rnacentral:rRNA from 1 species
UGGGGAAUUUUCCGCAAUGGGCGAAAGCCUGACGGAGCAAUACCGCGUGAGGGAGGAAGGUCCUUGGGUUGUAAACCUCAAAACUUAGGGAAGAAGAAAGUGACGGUACCUAAUGAAUAAGCAUCGGCUAACUCCGUGCCAGCAGCCGCGGUAAUACGGAGGAUGCAAGCGUUAUCCGGAAUCAUUGGGCGUAAAGAGUCUGUAGGUGGCAUUUAAAGUCUGCUGUCAAAGACCGAAGCUCAACUUCGGGCAGGCGGUGGAAACUGCAAAGCUAGAGUAUAGUAGGGGUAGAGGGAAUUCCCAGUGUAGCGGUGAAAUGCGUAGAGAUUAGGAAGAACACCAGUGGCGAAGGCGCUCUACUGGGCAUAUACUGACACUGAGAGACGAAAGCUAGGGUAGCGAAAGGGAUUAGAUACCCCUGUAGUC